CCGCGUUGGUGAUCUGCUCCGGAGAGUGGGAUCGCAGGUCGAAAGGACUGGUAAUACCGCAUUCCGUUUUAGGGAUUAGAGGCCUAAAAACGAAAGGAGCAAUUCGCUCCGGGAGGGACCUGCGUCCCAUCAGCUAGUUGGUGAGGUAACGGCCCACCAAGGCGAUGACGGGUAGGGGACCUGAGAGGGUGGCCCCCCACAAUGGAACUGAAACACGGUCCAUACACCUACGGGUGGCAGCAGUAGGGAAUAUUGCAUAAUGGGCGAAAGCCUGAUGCAGCAACGCCGCGUGUGCGAUGAAGGCCUUCGGGUCGUAAAGCACUUUUAGCAGGGAUGAGGAAGGACAGUACCUGCUGAAUAAGCCUCGGCUAACUACGUGCCAGCAGCGC
rnacentral:rRNA from 1 species